rnacentral:misc_RNA from 1 species
UCGAGACCCGAACGAACGGACGAUCGCGAACGCGUUACAUACUUGCUUACCAAAACAACUCCGGUUCGUCCCGCCGCGCCUCGCGGCGCGGCGCGGCGAGACGGAGGAAACGAAACCCCGGCGCGGUGGGCGCCAAGGAACACUUUUUAGAAGCGCCGUCGCGGCCUCCUCCUACUGCUUGCCAGAAGGAGGGGGAACGCGGGCGUGGACAUAGAUAUCGUAUUUUGUACGACUCUCGGCAACGGAUAUCUAGGCUCUCGCAUCGAUGAAGAACGUAGCGAAAUGCGAUACUUGGUGUGAAUUGCAGAAUCCCGUGAACCAUCGAGUCUUUGAACGCAAGUUGCGCCCGAGGCCAUCCGGCCGAGGGCACGCCUGCCUGGGCGUCACGCCUCCCGUCGCUCCCCACAGCCGUGCGGAUGCGGAGAUUGGCCCACCGUGCCUCGUGCGCGGCGGGUCGAAGUGCGGGCCGUCGUCGGGCCGGGCGCGGCGAAUGGUGGACGAAUACUUCGUUGUUUGUGCCUACUCUCCGUGCCCCGGCCCUCAACAAUGCGACGUGCCGUCGUCGGACCCCUCACCAAGGAAGAACGCUCCUUCUUGCUUGCUUUUUGUCUUUGCCUGCUCGCUCGCGACAGGCAAUGGAGGAAGGAAGCGAGAAGGAGCCGUCCUCGGAACG